rnacentral:lncRNA from 1 species
UUCAUUGUUAUUAUGUGGGCGAUAACAAUCUUGUUCAUCAAGAUUGAUUGAAAUUCUCCAUAGAUUUUGGGGGAUUUCCAACAAAAACAAGUAUUUUAAAAUAGGAAAAAAACAUGAAAUUUUUUGUUUAUGACUAAACCAUAUAACAUCUUUUUAUCUCUAGUAAAAACUAUAAAAAAAAUUUUAACAUAUUUUUUUACUUAAACAAUAUCAUCUAUCAUAUCUCAUCACUCUUUCAUGUCUCUCCUCUCCCACCGAUAUCAUGCCUCUUUC